GGCGCAUUAACGUCAUUUCAAAACAUGACGUCAUACGUAUGAAAACGUCAAAGCUGAAGGUUUUUCUAUUGCGUUUACCUUCUAAACUCGGAUACAAUUGCAUUAAAAUAAAUUAUUGAGGUAGGUGUUGCUUGUUUUCUGUUCUAUUGCAUUAUUCGCACAUUUACUGAUUUCAGCAAGUCAACAUGGCGGCUCCUUGGUUACAACAUGUCAACAGUGAAUUUGACGGUAGCUUACGAUAAAAAAUGUAAAUUUAAAAUUGCAAAUGUUGGGUUUACUGAGAAGUAACAAAAGGAAUCACAUUUUUUU
rnacentral:lncRNA from 1 species